rnacentral:lncRNA from 10 species
CUCGGCUCAUUGCAACCUCCACCUCCUGGGUUCAAACGAUUCUCCUGCCUCAGCCUCCUGAGUACUUGGGAUUACAGGCAUGCACCACUAUGCCUGGCUAAUUUUUGUAUUUUUUAGUAGAGAUGGGGUUUCACCAUGUUGGCCAGGCUGGUCUCGGACUCCUGACCUCAAGUGAUCCACCCACCUUGGCCUCCCAAAGUGCUGGGAUUAUAGGCAUGAGCCACUGCGCCAGGCCUAUUGGCCUCUUUUAUUUGCAUUGCUGCCUCUUUCUGUCACUGACCACCCCACCAUCUCCCCCUCCCACUGGUCCUAUCCUAUUUCCCCUCUCCCUAUGGCACCCUCUUAGCUGGUGUGGGGGGGCAGGACUCCCCAGCCCAGGUUCCCUGGCUCCCAUCCAAUGCCUGGCCUGGCCGGGGUGACCUUUGCAGUGACAGGCUCCCUGUCAGAGCUCCAGAUUAGCUAUGUCUGCCGGGAAGUGCUCCAGGGACUGGCCUAUUUGCACUCACAGAAGAAGAUACACAGGGACAUCAAGGGAGCUAACAUCCUCAUCAAUGAUGCUGGGGAGGUCAGAUUGG